GUGCUUAGUUAUGACAAGCGUGCGGACAUAUAAGUGUCUUUAUCCCUGACAAGGAAAGGGAAAUUGAGGGAAACUGAAAUAGAAAAAUAGGACAGAUGCUCACAGAGAGUGAAAAACUUGAGCUGUAAAGAAGGCCAAGUGUACCAAACAGAGCGCAACCCAGGAGUGAUUGAAUGAUCCCAUUCUGGCCUCUUUGUUAGACACUAGGCAGCGAUGUAUGAAGAUUGAUACACAAGUGCUUGACUCGGUUUGCUGGAUCAUCAAACGGAUUGAUAUUAUACUCCAGCCAAGGAUGAAGACAAAACCCUUAAAACGAUGAAGAAUGAGACGGAGCUGACCACAGAUGGAAGCGAUUGGUCCAACAGAGGGGGAGAAGGAUAACGAAGUGAGG
ensembl:lncRNA